GGAUCCUUGGCCGAGUGGUCAAGGCUCCACGAGCGGCACCUCCUAGGUCCCGGGUUCGAUCCCCAGUGGGGACG